rnacentral:lncRNA from 1 species
GGGCGCCUUGUUCGUCCAGCGGAAAAAGGCCACAAAAACGGGUAGGCUAUAGCCUUGGGGGGUUGGCCUGCUUCGUCCGCCGGACUCGGAAUGCCGUGAGACUUUGCGAGGGGACCCCGUGCGCCAAAAAUAAGCUGCGGGCAAGGCCGCGCCCAAAAAUAACCUCCCGAAGGCCGGGGCGCCAAGUUUGUCCAGCGGAAAAAGGCCACAAAAACGGGUGGGCUAUAGCCUUGGGGGGUGGGGCUGCUAACUUCGUCCGCCGGACUCGGAAUGCCGCGAGACUUUGCGAGGCGCUUCCGUGUGCCAAAAAUGGGCCGCGGAUAAAGUUGCGCCCAAAAAUAACCCCCCGAAGGCCGGGGCGUGAAGUUCGUCCCGCGGAAAAAGGCCACAAAAACGGGUGGGCUAUAGCCUUGGGGGGUGGGGCUGGCCGACUUCGUCCGCCAGAUUCGGAAGCCACGAGACCUUGUGAGGGGCCUCCGUGUGCCAAAAAAAGCCGCGGACAA